UACGUAGGGUGCAAGCGUUGUCCGGAAUUAUUGGGCGUAAAGAGCUCGUAGGCGGUUUGUCGCGUCGGCUGUGAAAUCCCGAGGCUCAACCUCGGGCCUGCAGUCGAUACGGGCAAACUAGAGUGUGGUAGGGGAGACUGGAAUUCCUGGUGUAGCGGUGAAAUGCGCAGAUAUCAGGAGGAACACCCGUGGCUAAGGCGGCUCUCUAGUACGGUACUGACGCUGAGACGCGAAAGCGUGGGGAGCGAACAGG
rnacentral:rRNA from 1 species